CCUACGGGAGGCAGCAGUGAGGAAUAUUGGUCAAUGGGCGCGAGCCUGAACCAGCCAAGUCGCGUGAGGGAAGACGGUCCUAUGGAUUGUAAACCUCUUUUGUCGGGGAGCAAAAGACGCCACGCGUGGCGUUCCGAGAGUACCCGAAGAAAAAGCAUCGGCUAACUCCGUGCCAGCAGCCGCGGUAAUACGGAGGAUGCGAGUGUUAUCCGGAUUUAUUGGGUUUAAAGGGUGCGCAGGCGGAAGAUCAAGUCAGCGGUAAAAUUGAGAGGCUCAACCUCUUCGAGCCGUUGAAACUGGUUGUCUUGAGUGAGUGAGAAGUAGGCGGAAUGCGUGGUGUAGCGGUGAAAUGCAUAGAUAUCACGCAGAACUCCGAUUGCGAAGGCAGCAUACCGGCGCUCAACUGACGCUCAUGCACGAAAGUGUGGGUAUCGAACAGGAUUAGAUACCCCUGUAGUC
rnacentral:rRNA from 1 species